rnacentral:lncRNA from 1 species
CUGGUUGCACUAAGUCGGCUUGUCAGCAAGCCACAGGAAUCCUCCUGUCUCUGCCUCCCCAGUACUGGGAUUACAAGAAUGCUCCAGCAUGCCCAGCUUUUCUAUUUUUAACAUGGAUUCUGGGGAUUAAAUUUAGGUGCUCAGCUUUGGACGGAAAGCAUUUUCUGGCUGAGUAUCACACCAGCCUUCCGUUUACCUUUGAGGCAAUUGCUGGUAUUCUUUGAUAACCCCUUCCUCCAACUAUUCAUCUCAUGUGUAAUCUUGGGAAAGUAGAAAUUGUUUAUUAUUUUGAAGAUAAAACAUAGAAAAGAAAAUGCAUUGACCCAUAGUUUCCUCACUAAACAUUUAAUAAUUUGGAGUGCAGGCUGAAUUAUUAUGGUUCAGGGGACAAACCCAGGGACUUGCACAGGUAAGCAAGCGUUCUGCCACUGAGCUACACCCUUAGACCUAAACGUUCUAUUUUAGUGUUUAUAAGAGUAAUUUGCUCGGUUUACAAACUCACAGUUCCAGCAUUUACUUAUGAACUGAGUUUAUUUCUCCUAACUUAUAAAUUUUAUUUUGAGUAGUUCAAGACACAUUGUUUCUUAAGAGGAAGGCAUGGUUAGUGUAAGCCAUCUGACCUAGCCAUAAUAGAAACUGCAAGUCAGAGAUUGCUGUGGAUUAUCUACAAUGGGUACAUGCCCUCUAGUAUUUAAAGUCUACUUGACAUGCUUUUUAAAAGUGUUUUGAGGUAGUUUUAACAUUUGAAACAGUAGAACUUUGUGAAUCAGCAUAUUAGCAAGCGUGAGGGAGUAUAUAUUCUCCUUCAUAUCCCUUUAUGUCAGGUUAUGUAGGUUUUCUAAUGUGGAGUUACUGGGAGUAUUAGAAUGAUGAUUCAUGUACCAACCCUGUGUAGCUUACAUAAAAGGAAUUUUAUUUACAUUCUGCUCAUGUAGAAAGGUUACCAUGUCAUUUCACUAAAAUAACCAUAUAAAACAUAAAGUAGAUAUACGUGUAAAUAAAUUGUAUUAUGUAUAAACUAUAUCUAGGUAAAAGUGUUCUUCAUUAAAAUGAAUUUUAAAAUGUAGAAACCUGGUGCUGGAGAGAUGGCUUAGCAGUUAAGACUUCUUAUGGCUCAUCCACAGUUCUCAAGUUCAACACCAUGUGAGCAGCUCUUAAUCUAGUGCACUUUCCUGGCUUCCUGUUGACAAGUGUAGAAUACACUGAGAUACACACUCACAGACACAUAACGUUUCAGGUUCUUUUCUUAAAAAUGUAGAAACCUAGACAAAUGGAAGACAGAACAUUUCUCUGUUUUUCUUUUUAAAUUUUUAUGUCUGCAUGCAGGCUUGGUAGUACAUGCUAAUAAUCCCAACACUUGUGCGGGGUGUGGGGGGUGCUAAGGUAGGAGGAUCGAGAGUAGAUGGCCAUGCACUGCCACAUAGCAAGUUUGAGACCAGUCAUGUAAGACUCCCAUCUCUAAAAUGCCACUAUAUUCCUGAGUCCGUGCCCUUUUAGAAGAGUGAGUGCAUUUUAACAAAAAGUACUAUUGAAUGUACUUUCUCUACAUUGUCUUGGUGGUUUUCCAGCAGUACUGUUUUAUAUGCAGCUUCUUGUUGGUAUAUUAUUGAGACAGUUCUGUAGUUAAGUGUAGUUGCAAAAGAUUUAGAAGAUCAUGUAUUCACUUUUGUGGGAGAGCAGAGACAACUAGAAAUCAG